rnacentral:rRNA from 1 species
GACGAACGCUGGCGGCGUGCUUAACACAUGCAAGUCGAACGAUGAAGCUGGAGCUUGCUCCGGUGGAUUAGUGGCGAACGGGUGAGUAACACGUGAGCAAUCUGCCCUUGACUCUGGGAUAACUGCGGGAAACUGUAGCUAAUACCGGAUACUUUCACUGGAAGGCAUCUUCUGGUGAAGAAAGAAUUUCGGUCAAGGAUGAGCUCGCGGCCUAUCAGCUUGUUGGGGAGGUAACGGCUCACCAAGGCGACGACGGGUAGCCGGCCUGAGAGGGUAGCCGGCCACACUGGGACUGAGACACGGCCCAGACGCCUACGGGAGGCAGCAGUGGGGAAUAUUGCACAAUGGGCGCAAGCCUGAUGCAGCAACGCCGCGUGAGGGAUGAAGGCCUUCGGGUUGUAAACCUCUUUUAGCAGGGAAGAAGCGAAAGUGACGGUACCUGCAGAAAAAGCACCGGCUAACUACGUGCCAGCAGCCGCGGUAA